CCUACGGGAGGCAGCAGUGGGGAAUUUUGGACAAUGGGCGCAAGCCUGAUCCAGCAAUGCCGCGUGAGUGAAGAAGGCCUUCGGGUUGUAAAGCUCUUUUGUCAGGGAAGAAACGGUGGAGGCUAAUAUCCUUUGCUAAUGACGGUACCUGAAGAAUAAGCACCGGCUAACUACGUGCCAGCAGCCGCGGUAAUACGUAGGGUGCAAGCGUUAAUCGGAAUUACUGGGCGUAAAGCGUGCGCAGGCGGUUUUGUAAGUUUGUCGUGAAAUCCCCGGGCUCAACCUGGGAAUGGCGAUGAAGACUGUAAGGCUAGAAUCUGGCAGAGGGGGGUAGAAUUCCACGUGUAGCAGUGAAAUGCGUAGAGAUGUGGAGGAACACCGAUGGCGAAGGCAGCCCCCUGGGUCAAGAUUGACGCUCAUGCACGAAAGCGUGGGGAGCAAACAGGAUUAGAUACCCUGGUAGUCCACGCCCUAAACGAUGUCUACUAGUUGUCGGGUUUUAAUUAACUUGGUAACGCAGCUAACGCGUGAAGUAGACCGCCUGGGGAGUACGGUCGCAAGNUUAAAACUCAAAAGGAAUUGACGG
rnacentral:rRNA from 1 species